rnacentral:rRNA from 1 species
UACAGAGGGGGCAAGCGUUGUUCGGAAUUACUGGGCGUAAAGGGCGCGUAGGCGGCCUGCUAAGUCGAACGUGAAAUCCCUGGGCUCAACCCAGGAACUGCGUCCGAUACUGGUUGGCUUGAAUUCGGGAGAGGGAUGUGGAAUUCCAGGUGUAGCGGUGAAAUGCGUAGAUAUCUGGAGGAACACCGAUGGCGAAGGCGGCAUCCUGGACCGAUAUUGACGCUGAUGCGCGAAAGCCAGGGGAGCAAACGGG